GAUGAACGCUGGCGGCGUGCCUAAUACAUGCAAGUCGAGCGAACAGACGAGGAGCUUGCUCCUCUGACGUUAGCGGCGGACGGGUGAGUAACACGUGGAUAACCUACCUAUAAGACUGGGAUAACUUCGGGAAACCGGAGCUAAUACCGGAUAAUAUAUUGAACCGCAUGGUUCAAUAGUGAAAGACGGUUUUGCUGUCACUUAUAGAUGGAUCCGCGCCGCAUUAGCUAGUUGGUAAGGUAACGGCUUACCAAGGCAACGAUGCGUAGCCGACCUGCGAGGGUGAUCGGCCACACUGGAACUGAGACACGGUCCAGACUCCUACGGGAGGCAGCAGUAGGGAAUCUUCCGCAAUGGACGAAAGCCUGACGGAGCAACGCCGCGUGAGUGAUGAAGGUCUUCGGAUCGUAAAACUCUGUUAUUAGGGAAGAACAAAUGUGUAAGUAACUAUGCACGUCUUGACGGUACCUAAUCAGAAAGCCACGGCUAACUACGUG
rnacentral:rRNA from 1 species